UACGAAGGGGGCUAGCGUUGCUCGGAAUCACUGGGCGUAAAGCGCACGUAGGCGGCUUUCUAAGUCAGGGGUGAAAUCCUGGAGCUCAACUCCAGAACUGCCUUUGAUACUGGAGAGCUUGAGUCCGGAAGAGGUGAGUGGAACUCCGAGUGUAGAGGUGAAAUUCGUAGAUAUUCGGAAGAACACCGGUGGCGAAGGCGGCAUCCUGGACCGGCAUUGACGCUGAGGCGCGAAAGCCAGGGGAGCAAACGGG
rnacentral:rRNA from 1 species